rnacentral:rRNA from 1 species
GACCUGCGGAAGGAUCAUUACUGAAUUUUUAAACAUCUUAGUUUGUUGCUGGUUUUCUUUAUUAUUAGAGAGAGCAUGUGCACGCUUUGAUUUUUAACAAAUCCACACACACACACCUGUGCACUUUUGUAGAAGCAUGUGUUAUAAAACGCAAAAGCGGUUAGAGAUUCAGUUCUCUACAGUUUUUGCUUGCAUGUGUUUUCUAUGUUUUUAUACAUACCCUUAUAAAAGUUUAUAGAACGUCUUUUACAUUCAGACAUGUAACAGUGUUUUGAAUAUAAAUCUAAUACAACUUUCAACAAUGGAUCUCUUGGCUCUUGCAUCGAUGAAGAACGCAGCGAAAUGCGAUAAGUAAUGUGAAUUGCAGAAUUCAGUGAAUCAUCGAAUCUUUGAACGCACCUUGCACUCUUUGGUAUUCCGAAGAGUAUGUCUGUUUGAGUACCAUGAAUAUCCUCAACCGUUUUGUUUUGUUAUAAAACAAAGUUGGCUUGGACUUGAAGGUUGCAGGCAGAUUUUCUGUCAGCUCCUUUUAAAUGCAUUAGCAGAGAAAGCUUAGGUGUGAUAAACUUUUGAACGCCUUUUUCUUUUCUCAGCUUCUAACUUAUGUGUUGUUGGUGAACUUUUUGUGAACCUUUUACACACUUUUUUUGUAACUUUGGUCUCAAAUCAGAUAGGACUACCCGCUGAACUUAAGCAUAUCA